UACGAGAGGUCCAAACGUUAUUCGGAAUCACUGGGCGUAAAGGGAGCGUAGGCGGGUUUUUAAGUCAGGUGUUUAAUCCCGGGGCCCAACCCCGGACAGGCACUUGAAACUGGGAAUCUUGAAUAGUGGAGAGGUCAGUGGAAUUGGGGGUGUAGCGGUGGAAUGCGUAGAGAUCCCCAAGAACACCCGUUGCGAAGGCGGCUGACUGGACACAUAUUGACGCUGAGGCUCGAAAGCAUGGGGAGCAAACAGG
rnacentral:rRNA from 1 species